rnacentral:rRNA from 1 species
UACAGAGGUCUCAAGCGUUGUUCGGAUUCAUUGGGCGUAAAGGGUGCGUAGGCGGCGUGGUAAGUCGGGUGUGAAAUCUCGGAGCUUAACUCCGAAACUGCAUUCGAUACUGCCGUGCUUGAGGACUGGAGAGGAGACUGGAAUUCAUGGUGUAGCAGUGAAAUGCGUAGAUAUCUGGAGGAACACCGGUGGCGAAGGCGGCAUCCUGGACCAACACUGACACUGAGGAGCGAAAGCCAGGGGAGCAAACGGG